AAGGCGUGCCUAACACAUGCAAGUUGAGCGGUAAGGCCCCUUCGGGGGUACACGAGCAGCGAACGGGGGAGUAUCGCGUGGGUAACCUACCCAGAGGGGGAGGAUAGCCCCGGGAAACCGGGGGUAAUACUGCAUAUGUCCUCGAUGACAUAAGUCGACGAGGGCAAAGGCGGGGAUUUUUCGGAACCUGUCGCCUUUGGAUGGGCCCGCGUCCGAUUAGCUUUUUGGGGGGGUAACGGCCCACCAAGGCUGCGAUCGGUAGCCGGCCUGAGAGGGGGAACGGCCACAUUGGGACUGAGACACGGCCCAGACUCCUACGGGAGGCAGCAGUGGGGAAUUUUGGGCAAUGGGGGAAACCCUGACCCAGCGACGCCGCGUGGAGGAUGACGGCCUUCGGGUUUUAAACUCCUGUCAGGGGGGAAGAAGAGCUUCGUGGCUAAUAUCCACGAGGAAUUGACGGUACCACCAAAGGAAGCCCCGGCUAACUCCGUGCCAGCAGCCGCGGUAAUACGGAGGGGGCAAGCGUUAUUCGGAUUUACUGGGCGUAAAGCGCACGUAGGGGGCAUGGUAAGUCAAAGGGGAAAGCCCUCGGCUCAACCGAGGAACUGCCUUUGAAACUGCUUUGCUUGAGUCCGGGAGGGGGGAGCGGAAUUCCCAGUGUAGCGGGGAAAUGCGUAGAUACUGGGAGGGU
rnacentral:rRNA from 1 species